rnacentral:tRNA from 1 species
GGGGAGCUAGUAAAAACAUUACCUUACCUUGUCAAGGCAAAAUUGUAGGUUAAACCCCUGCGCACCCCU